GUCGGGGAAGGAAAGACAUAGAAUUUGGAUUUUUCUUCUUCGUAGAGUUUUGGGAAGACUGAGGCAAUUGCUGCUGAAGUCAGUGUUGUAAUGGUGAAUCGGGAUUUUUAAAUGAAGUGGGUUUGAAUACUCUUGACUAUUUUGUAAAAUCAAGUUACGUCUGUGAUUGAAGGAUUAAAAGGGUGUCUAUAGGAUUGAGUAUGCGGAGUGAAUGAAAUUUAUUGGGUUAAUCUAACAGGACAGUCAGUGGAU
rnacentral:lncRNA from 1 species